rnacentral:rRNA from 1 species
GAUAGAGAGGUGGCAGCGGCAGGGUAAAUAGGGGGGGGGGAGGGUGUAAGCGGGAUUGAGUGUGGGAAGGGGGGCGGAGGGGGUUUGUGAAGACCGCAGGGAAAGCGCCGGGCGGAACCUGGGAAAUGCAUUUGUGACUGGCAGGUGAGAGGAUGGCAGAGGGGGGGAGAAUUCCACGUGGAGCAGUGAAAUGCGUAGAGAUGUGGAGGAAGACCGAUGGCGAAGGCAGCCCCCUGGGCCAAUACUGACGCUCAUGCACGAAAGCGUGGGGAGCAAACAGGAUUAGAUUCCCUGGUAGUC